ncrna:unclassified sequences L19-Flavobacteria ribosomal protein leader
UAACCUCUGGCGAAAAUCGUGGAUGUUG